rnacentral:lncRNA from 1 species
AUGUGGUUUCUCCACCUGCAAAGGAAGGACUCCUGUCAUCACGUAACACCGAAGAACCACUUCGCUAAGGAUGUGAUGAUACCAUGGUCAAUGGGCCUCAGUGAGGUGCCACCAAGGGACAGCGCCCCAGGACUGGCUAGAUCAUUAAGCCAUCGUGACUGCUCAGAAAAUCAACAAGAUCUGAACUGUCAUCUAGUGCUCAGACUUUUACUGGAGCAGGUAAGCUCUGCACAUGUGGACAAAGUGGCCUUCGCCCCAAAUCGGACUGCCGCCUGCGCCCGCAGCGUCCCCAUGCUGCCGUUCUCUCUGUACCGCUGGCCUCAGGGGCCACUAGUUCUCUUCUCGGCUGAGCCCAAGCCCAUCCCAAGGACCUUCAAAGAGAAGAAAAGGUAGAGUGGAAAACUAAGUAUCUACAGGUCCCUAUUCAGCUCCCAGUUCUAUUAGCUCAUAUUUUAAAAAUGAUUUCCCAAACAAUUUGAAUAGCAAAAUAAAUAGUAAUAGAUAAUAAUCCACAGAGUUAAAUAAAUACCCAUGAGUCAAAAAAAAAAGAUUUCCUGAAAACAAUUGCUGAAGAAUGAAAGAGGAUGGUGUUCCUAAUGGCUCUCUGGGUCUUUUUUUUUUCUUAAGGUUUUUCUGUCGCCUUUCGGGUGGUACUACAUUCUGGUUUGACGUCAGCCAGGUUCAGGCAUGCCAUGGACAACAGGUAAGCAGGGGACACUCUCCUAUUGAAGCCUCAAUUUCCUGCUCUGAAAAAUACCUGUGUCUGUAUUGGUUUAAGUUGAAUUAACCUAGGUUUCUAAAACAAUAUGGAGUACCGUGGAGGAAAGAAAACAGAAUGGAUAAUACUUAGCUGAAAAAUGACAUCUGCGCAAAUAUAAAAGGACAACGUGCUAGCAGGUGUAUGGCAAGUCAAAGAAGAAGGAUUUUGAAAACAGGAAAACAGGAACAUGAACUACCAGAGAGAAGAAGGAAGAAAAUUCUAAAUGAAGAAUACGCAUGAGCAAAAGUAGAGGGACAGGGGUGCCUGGGUGGCUCAGUGGGUUAAGCCUCUGCCUUCAGCUCAGGUCAUGAUCUCAGGGUCCUGGGAUUGAGCCCUGCAUCUCUGUUCAGUAGGGAGCCUGCUUUCCCCACUCUUUCUCUGCCUGCCUCUCUGUCU